GAUGAACGCUAGCGAUAGGCUUAACACAUGCAAGUCGAGGGAUAACGUGUUGGAAGCUUGCUUCCGAUGACGACGACCGGCGGAUGGGUGCGUAACGCGUAUGCAACUUGCCUCACAGUGGAGAAUAACCCGGAGAAAUCCGGACUAAUACUCCAUACACUCUUAAGUACGCCUGUACAUGAGAGGAAAGAUUUAUCGCUGUGAGAUAGGCAUGCGUCCUAUUAGGUAGUUGGUGAGGUAACGGCUCACCAAGCCGACGAUAGGUAGGGGUGCUGAGAGGCAGAUCCCCCACAUUGGGACUGAGACACGGCCCAAACUCCUACGGGAGGCAGCAGUGAGGAAUAUUGGUCAAUGGAGGAAACUCUGAACCAGCCAAGUCGCGUGAAGGAAGAAUGUCCUAAGGAUUGUAAACUUCUUUAGCGAGCGAGUAAGGACUUCCACGUGAUGGGAGUUUGAAAGUAGCUCGAGAAUAAGUAUCGGCUAACUCCGUG
rnacentral:rRNA from 1 species